rnacentral:rRNA from 1 species
UCAUGCACGAAAGCGUGGGUAGCAAACAGGAUUAGAUACCCUGGUAGUCCACGCCCUAAACGAUGUCAACUAGGUGUUGGGUGGGUAAAACCAUUUAGUACCGGAGCUAACGCGUGAAGUUGACCGCCUGGGGAGUACGGCCGCAAGGUUAAAACUCAAAGGAAUUGACGGGGACCCGCACAGGCGGUGGAUGAUGUGGAUUAAUUCGAUGCAACGCGAAAAACCUUACCUACCCCUUGACAUGUCCAGAAGCUCUUAGAGAUUUGAGUGUGCCCGAAAGGGAACUGGAACACAGGUGCUGCAUGGCUGUCGUCAGCUCGUGUCGUGAGAUGUUGGGUUAAGUCCCGCAACGAGCGCAACCCUUGUCGUUAAUUGCCAUCAUUCAGUUGGGCACUUUAACGAGACUGCCGGUGACAAACCGGAGGAGGGUGGGGAUGACGUCAAGUCCUCAUGGCCCUUAUGGGUAGGGCUUCACACGUCAUACAAUGGUCGGUACAAAGGGUUGCCAACCCGCGAGGGGGAGCUAAUCCCAGAAAGCCGAUCGUAGUCCGGAUCGUAGGCUGCAACUCGCCUGCGUGAAGUCGGAAUCGCUAGUAAUCGUGGAUCAGCAUGUCACGGUGAAUACGUUCCCGGGUCUUGUACACACCGCCCGUCACACCAUGGGAGCGGGUUCCGCCAGAAGUAGGUAGCCUAACCGCAAGGAGGGCGCUUACCACGGCGGGGUUCGUGACUGGGGUGG